UUGGUUAAGUUAGAAAGGGCGCACGGUGGAUGCCUUGGCACUAGGAGCCGAAGAAGGACGGGACUAACACCGAUAUGCUUUGGGGAGCUGUACGUAAGCGUUGAUCCAGAGAUUUCCGAAUGGGGGAACCCACUAUCUUUAGUCGGAUAGUAUCCUUACGUGAAUACAUAGCGUGAGGAAGGCAGACCCAGGGAACUGAAACAUCUAAGUACCUGGAGGAAGAGAAAGAAAAAUCGAUUUCCUGAGUAGCGGCGAGCGAAACGGAAAGAGCCCAAACCAAGAAGCUUGCUUCUUGGGGUUGUAGGACACUCUAUACGGAGUUACAAAAGAAAGUUAUAAAUGAAGCGGUCUGGAAAGGCCCGCCAAAGACGGUAACAGCCCGGUAGUUGAAAUGGCUUUCCCUCCAGAGUGGAUCCUGAGUACGGCGGAACACGUGAAAUUCCGUCGGAAUCCGGGAGGACCAUCUCCCAAGGCUAAAUACUCCCUAGUGACCGAUAGUGAACCAGUACCGUGAGGGAAAGGUGAAAAGCACCCCGGAAGGGGAGUGAAACAGUUCCUGAAACCGUGUGCCUACAAGUAGUUAGAGCCCGUUAAUGGGUGAUAGCGUGCCUUUUGUAGAAUGAACCGGCGAGUUACGAUUUGUUGCAAGGUUAAGCGGAAAAAGCGGAGCCGUAGCGAAAGCGAGUCUGAAUAGGGCGCAUAAGUAACAGGUCGUAGACCCGAAACCAGGUGAUCUACCCAUGUCCAGGAUGAAGGUAAGGUAAUACUUACUGGAGGUCCGAACCCACGCACGUUGAAAAGUGCGGGGAUGAGGUGUGGGUAGCGGAGAAAUUCCAAUCGAACUUGGAGAUAGCUGGUUCUCUCCGAAAUAGCUUUAGGGCUAGCCUCGAGGUAAAGAGUCAUGGAGGUAGAGCACUGUUUGGACUAGGGGCCCUUCUCGGGUUACCGAAUUCAGAUAAACUCCGAAUGCCAUGUACUUAUACUCGGGAGUCAGACUGCGAGUGAUAAGAUCCGUAGUCGAAAGGGAAACAGCCCAGACCACCAGUUAAGGUCCCCAAAUAUAUGUUAAGUGGAAAAGGAUGUGGGGUUGCUUAGACAACCAGGAUGUUGGCUUAGAAGCAGCCACCAUUGAAAGAGUGCGUAAUAGCUCACUGGUCGAGUGACCCCGCGCCGAAAAUGUACCGGGGCUAAACAUAUUACCGAAACUGUGGAUGAACCUCUUUAGAGGUUCGUGGUAGGAGAGCGUUCUAAGGGCGGUGAAGUCAGACCGGAAGGACUGGUGGAGCGCUUAGAAGUGAGAAUGCCGGUAUGAGUAGCGAAAGAAGGGUGAGAAUCCCUUCCACCGAAUAUCUAAGGUUUCCUGAGGAAGGCUCGUCCGCUCAGGGUUAGUCGGGACCUAAGCCGAGGCCGAUAGGCGUAGGCGAUGGACAACAGGUAGAGAU
rnacentral:rRNA from 1 species